AUCGGAAUCACUGGGCGUAAAGGGUGCGUAGGCGGGCGAGUGUGUUUAAUGUUAAAUCUUAAAGCUCAACUUUGAAAUUGCGUUAAAAACUGCUUGUCUUGAGUAUGGUAGGGGUAAAGGGAAUUCCCAGUGUAGCGGUGAAAUGCGUAGAUAUUGGGAAGAACACUAAACAGCGAAGGCACUUUACUAGGCUAAUACUGACGCUGAGAAACGAAAGGUAAGGUAGCGAAACGGAUUAGAUACCCGUGUAGUCUUACCCGUAAACUAUGGACACUAAACGGUAAAUUUUUAAUUUACUGUUAAAGCUAACGCGUUAAGUGUCCCGCCUGGGGAGUAUGCUUGCAAAAGUGAAACUCAAAGGAAUUGACGGGGGCCCGCACAAGCGGUGGAGCAUGUGGUUUAAUUCGACGGUACACGAAGAACCUUACCAGGAUUUGACAUGCUAGAUAGUUGCUUGAAAGAGUAACAUGCCGUAAGGAAUCUAGACACAGGUGGUGCAUGGCUGUCGUCAGUUCGUGUUGUGAAAUGUUGGGUUAAGUCCCGCAACGAACGCAACCCUUGUCUUUAGUUAUUUUCUAAAGAGACUGCCUGUAAUAAACAGGAGGAAGGUAAGGAUGAGGUCAAGUCAUCAUGCCCCUUAUGUCCUGGGCUACACACGUGCUACAAUGGGAAAGACAAUGAGCUGCAAAUCUGUAAAUUUAAGCAAAUCUCUUAAACUUUCUCGUAGUUCGGAUUGUGGGCUGCAACUCGCCCACAUGAAGUUGGAAUCGCUAGUAAUCGCCAGUCAGCUAUAUGGCGGUGAAUCCGUUCCCGGGCCU
rnacentral:rRNA from 1 species